rnacentral:rRNA from 1 species
UACGUAGGGUGCAAGCGUUAAUCGGAAUUACUGGGCGUAAAGCGUGCGCAGGCGGUGAUGUAAGACAGAUGUGAAACACCCGGGCUCAACCUGGGAACUGCAUUUGUGACUGCAUCGCUGGAGUACGGCAGAGGGGGAUGGAAUUCCGCGUGUAGCAGUGAAAUGCGUAGAUAUGCGGAGGAACACCGAUGGAGAGGGCAAUCCCCUGGGCCUGUACUGACGCUCAUGCACGAAAGCGUGGGGAGCAAACAGG